GUAGGGACGUUGUGAGGAAAGCCUCCUGUUCCUAGUUGUGGUGAGUGUAGGUACGUGGUGAGUGUAGGGAGGUGGUGAGUGUAGGGAGGUGGUGAGUGUAGGGAGUUGGUGAGUGUAGGGAGGUGGUGAGUGUAGGGAGGUGGUGAGUGUAGGGAGGUGGUGAGUGUAGGGAGGUGGGGAGUGGUGAAUGUAGAGAAGUGGUGAGUGUAGGGAGGUGGUGAGUGGUGAGUAUAGAGAGGUGGUGAGUGGUGAGUGUAGAGAGGUGGUGAGUGUAGGGAGUGGUGAGUGUAGGGAGGUGGUGAGUGGUGAGUGUAGGGAGGUGGUGAGUGUAGAGAGGUGGUGAGUGUAGGAGGUGGUGAGUGUAGGGAGGUUGUGAGUGGUGAGUGUAGAGAGAUGGUGAGUGUAGGGAGGUGGUGAG
ensembl:lncRNA